GACGAACGCUGGCGGCGUGCCUAAUACAUGCAAGUCGAACGAUAGCGACCGGUGCUUGCCCUGGUCAAUCUAGUGGCGAACGGGGGAGUAACACGUGGGUAACCUUCCCAUCAGAGGGGGAUAACAUCCGGAAACGGAUGCUAAAACCGCAUAGUUCUUCGAACCGCAUGGUUCGAAGUGGAAAAGAGGCGCAAGCUUCUGCUGAUGGAUGGACCCGCGGUGCAUUAGCUAGUUGGUGAGGUAACGGCUCACCAAGGCCGUGAUGCAUAGCCGACCUGAGAGGGUGAUCGGCCACACUGGGACUGAGACACGGCCCAAACUCCUACGGGAGGCAGCAGUAGGGAAUCUUCCGCAAUGGACGAAAGUCUGACGGAGCAACGCCGCGUGAGUGAAGAAGGUUUUCGGAUCGUAAAACUCUGUUGUUAGAGAAGAACAAGUGCUAGAGUAACUGAUCGCCCCCUGACGGUAUCUAACCAGAAAGCCACGGCUAACUACGUG
rnacentral:rRNA from 1 species